AGAGUUUGAUCCUGGCUCAGAACGAACGCUGGCGGCGUGGAUAAGACAUGCAAGUCGAACGCUUGCUUUAGGGUAGCAAUAUUCUGGAGCAGGAGUGGCGGAAGGGUGCGUAACAUGUGGGUAAUCUGCCGUGAAGGCUGGGAUAACUUGCUGAAAGGCGAGCUAAUACCGGAUGAGAUAGCCAGGAGAGAGCUUUUGGCUAUGAAAGUUGGGGACUGUAAAAGGCCUGACGCUUCAUGAUGAGCCCGCAACCUAUCAGCUAGUUGGUGAGGUAAAGGCUCACCAAGGCUAAGACGGGUAGCUGGUCUGAGAGGACGACCAGCCACACUGGAACUGAGAGACGGUCCAGACACCUACGGGUGGCAGCAGUCGAGAAUUUUUCACAAUGGGCGAAAGCCUGAUGGAGCGACGCCGCGUGGGGGAUGAAUGGCUUCGGCCCGUAAACCCCUGUCAUUUGCGAACAAACCUUGCUAUUUAAAAGAUGGCGAGCUGAUUGUAGCGAAAGAGGAAGGGACGGCUAACUCUGUGCCAGCAGCCGCGGUAAUAC
rnacentral:rRNA from 1 species